GAGGAAGUUAUCCGACGUGGAGUAAGCUCCUUUAUUCUUCUGUAUAUGACAAUAAUUCCUAAUUAUUAGAUAUACCAUGAACAAUAAAAAAUAGUGUUCUCUCUCUUACAGAAAAGUGAAUACUCUCUAUAAUAUAGAGAGUGGAUUCUACAUGAUUGUGAGAGAUGGUGCAUGUGUAUCGGGUGUAUCUAAUAAUUUCUUGACAAUAAUGGUAUGAUAUUGAAUGAAUUUGUGAUGGAAUUUUUUUGACUUCACACUUUAAGGUUGCUUAUCCUGGAAAAAUUGCU
rnacentral:misc_RNA from 1 species